ACACAUGCAAGUCGAGCGCUACCUUCGGGUGGAGCGGCGGACGGGUUAGUAACGCGUGGGAAUAUACCCUUCUCUACGGAAUAGCCUCGGGAAACUGAGAGUAAUACCGUAUACGCCCUUCGGGGGAAAGAUUUAUCGGAGAAGGAUUAGCCCGCGUAAGAUUAGAUAGUUGGUGGGGUAAUGGCCUACCAAGUCUACGAUCUUUAGCUGGUUUUAGAGGAUGAUCAGCAACACUGGGACUGAGACACGGCCCAGACUCCUACGGGAGGCAGCAGUGGGGAAUCUUAGACAAUGGGCGAAAGCCUGAUCUAGCCAUGCCGCGUGAGUGAUGAAGGCCUUAGGGUCGUAAAGCUCUUUCGCCAGGGAUGAUAAUGACAGUACCUGGUAAAGAAGCCCCGGCUAACUCCGUGCCAGCAGCCGCGGUAAUACGGAGGGGGCUAGCGUUGUUCGGAAUUACUGGGCGUAAAGCGCACGUAGGCGGAUCAGAAAGUAAGGGGUGAAAUCCCGAGGCUCAACCUCGGAACUGCCUCUUAAACUCCUGGUCUUGAGUUCGAGAGAGGUGAGUGGAAUUCCAAGUGUAGAGGUGAAAUUCGUAGAUAUUUGGAGGAACACCAGUGGCGAAGGCGGCUCACUGGCUCGAUACUGACGCUGAGGUGCGAAAGUGUGGGGAGCAAACAGGAUUAGAUACCCUGGUAGUCCACACCGUAAACGAUGAAUGCCAGACGUCGGGUAGCAUGCUAUUCGGUGUCACACCUAACGGAUUAAGCAUUCCGCCUGGGGAGUACGGUCGCAAGAU
rnacentral:rRNA from 1 species